rnacentral:rRNA from 1 species
AUUGAACGCUGGCGGCAGGCCUAACACAUGCAAGUCGAACGAGGGGCGGACGGGUGUGUAAUGUCUGGGAAACUGCCCGAGGGAGGGGGAUAACUACGGGAAACGGUAGCUAAUACCGCAUACCAUGGGAUGUGCCCAGAUGGGUUUAGCGAGUAGGUGGGGUAACGGCUCACCUGGGCGACGAUCCCUAGCUGGUCUGAGAGGAUGAACAGCCACACUGGAACUGAGACACGGCCCAGACUCCUACGGGAGGCAGCAGUGGGGAAUAUUGCACAAUGGGCGCAAGCCUGAUACAGCCAUGCCGCGUGUAUGAAGAAGGCCUUCGGGUUGUAAAGUACUUUCAGCGAGGAGGCGUUACCCGCAGAAGAAGCACCGGCUAACUCCGUGCCAGCAGCCGCGGUAAUAC